rnacentral:rRNA from 1 species
UACGUAGGUGGCAAGCGUUGUCCGGAUUUACUGGGCGUAAAGAGCGCGCAGGCGGUCGUUCAAGUCGCGUGUGAAAGCCCCCGGCUCAACUGGGGAGGGUCACGCGAUACUGAUCGACUGGAAGGCAGGAGAGGGUAGUGGAAUUCCCGGUGUAGUGGUGAAAUGCGUAGAUAUCAGGAGGAACACCAGUGGCGAAGGCGACUACCUGGCCUGUUCUUGACGCUGAGGCGCGAAAGCUAGGGGAGCAAACGGG